rnacentral:rRNA from 1 species
CACCAGCGCCACUAGUCGGGAUCACAUUUAUUGGGUCUAAAGCGUUCGUAGCCGGCCUGGCAAAUUUAUUGUGAAAUCGUUAAGCCUAACUUAACGACGAGCAGUAAACACUACCAGGCUUGGGACUGGGAGGGGCUAGAGGUAUGCUUGGGGGAGCAGUAAAAUGCUAUAAUCCCUUGCGGACCACCUGUGGCGAAGGCGUCUAGCCAGAACAGAUCCGACGGUGAGGAACGAAAGCUAGGGGAGCAAUCCGG